rnacentral:rRNA from 1 species
UACGGCUACCUUGUUACGACUUCACCCCAGUCGCUGACCUUACCGUGGUCGGCUGCCCCCCUUGCGGGUUAGCACACCGGCUUAAGGUAAAGCCAACUCCCAUGGUGUGACGGGCGGUGUGUACAAGGCCCGGGAACGUAUUCACCGCGGCGUGCUGAUCCGCGAUUACUAGCGAUUCCGACUUCAUGCUCUCGAGUUGCAGAGAACAAUCCGAACUGAAACAGUUUUUGGGGAUUAGCUCCGGGUCGCCCCUUCGCGUCCCAUUGUCACCGCCAUUGUAGCACGUGUGUAGCCCAGCCCAUAAGGGCCAUGAGGACUUGACGUCAUCCCCACCUUCCUCCGGCUUGUCACCGGCAGUUUCUUCAGAGUGCCCGGCCGAACCGAUGGCAACUGAAAACGAGGGUUGCGCUCGUUGCGGGACUUAACCCAACACCUCACGACACGAGCUGACGACAGCCAUGCAGCACCUGUGCGGGGUCCAGCCGAACUGAAGGAAGCCGUCUCCGGCAACCAAAACCCCCAUGUCAAGGGCUGGUAAGGUUCUGCGCGUUGCGUCGAAUUAAACCACAUGCUCCACCGCUUGUGCGGGCCCCCGUCAAUUCCUUUGAGUUUUAACCUUGCGGCCGUACUCCCCAGGCGGAGUGCUUAA